rnacentral:rRNA from 1 species
UGGGGAAUUUUGCGCAAUGGGGGAAACCCUGACGCAGCAACGCCGCGUGAGUGAUGAAGGCCUUCGGGUCGUAAAGCUCUUUUAGUGGGGAAGAAGCCCUGCAGGGAUAAUACCCCUGCGGUCUGACGGUACCCACAGAAAAAGUUCCGGCUAACUACGUGCCAGCAGCCGCGGUAAUACGUAGGGAGCAAGCGUUGUUCGGAAUUAUUGGGCGUAAAGAGCGCGUAGGCGGUUCGGUAAGUCUGACGUGAAAUCCCGGAGCUUAACUCCGGAACUGCGUUGGAUACUGCCGGGCUUGAGUGUGGGAGAGGAGAGUGGAAUUCCCAGUGUAGAGGUGAAAUUCGUAGAUAUUGGGAGGAACACCCGUGGCGAAGGCGGCUCUCUGGACCACAACUGACGCUGAGGCGCGAAAGCUAGGGGAGCAAACGGGAUUAGAUACCCCGGUAGUCCUAGCCGUAAACGAUGGGCACUAGGUGUUGGAGGUAUCGACCCCUCCAGUGCCGCAGCUAACGCAUUAAGUGCCCCGCCUGGGGAGUACGGUCGCAAGACUA